UUUAAAUUUCACGUCGAGAUGGGUGCAAUUUUGGGGGCUGGGUAGACGUUGCCAUUCUCGGGGGCCCCCGUCGAAACGGCAAGUUCCAUCCACCGAUGAACCCUGCGCCUCGAUCGCAUCGCAGAAAUAUUUGUAGGGCCGAUCUCGAUCACCAAGAUCAUAAUACUCUAGAAGAGGGGGAGGCGGGGUUUUAAGGCGGUCGAGAGCCCUAUCUAUAGUGGGACCAUCGCAACCACAGGAUGUCAGGGUUGGUUCUCGCUCUCAUAUCUGGUCGUUCAAUUACAUCACAGACCCUCCACAAAUCAUUUUUCUUCAUCUUUUCGAGCUUAUCCUUCAAUUUCAAUUUUCCCUUGAGUUUAUUCUCCUCUUCUUCACCCCAAACAAACCCUGAAACCUGCAAAACAUUCCUCUUAAAAUGAUGAGCCUUUCCGCGCCUUCCGUAAAGAAGAUUGUGAAUGAUUGCCAGCAUUUCAUCACCUCUGGUGAGCUUGGAUAGUUUAUAUGCCACACUUGGAAUGUUCUUAAGCUGUGUGCCUUUGCCCUGUUCAAUGAUGAAUUCUCUGGGGCUAUCCCUAAUGGUGGAAGGAUCAAAGGUUUUUACAGGAUUCUUUUCUCUCACAGGCCGAUCCAGCGGAGUAGUAGGCGUUGAAAGUAAAUCCUCGGUUUUCUCUUCUCUGAAUUCUUCAGCCAUAUCGAGAUUCGAACCUGUGACUUAAGGUUCAAACCCUGGAAUUAAAUACCUCUUAUAGCUUCGUUCAACGAAUCGGCAUCAAAUAUGGACAUACAUGUUCGAAUUCAAAAUUUAUGAAGAGGCAAAACGGAGGAUCAGAAAAUAGCAACCAAAUGAGAUCAAAUUCCCUCUUCCAGGGAGCUAUUGGGUCACUUGAUUACAGUAAGGAAGAAAGGAGUGCUCUUGCCAUUAAGUGCCGAGUUCAUCCAUCAAAGUUUGGGAACUCAGACCGACAUAAACUAAUGAGAUUCAUGAAUAUAUGUUGAAUAAGGCGACUCUUGCACCUGAACUUAGUCCUAUGACUAACAACCAAGAUGCCUCACAACCUGUAACAACUGAGGUUGAAGACCAUGCAAAUGCAAUUACUGUGACAUCUAUAUAACAUUUGCAAGCAGAAGAGAUGAUUGGGGAUGUACAUGAAUCACAUUUGAAUCUUGAUAUAACUCCCCCAAUAGCAAGAACCAGUGCAGAGUUGAGAUCACAUACAAAGCCAACAGUUAGAUCAGCUACAAAACUAGGAGUUCUAAAUGCAGAUGUAGCAAACAUGGAUCAUGAAAUGAGGAAUAACCUAAUAAUUAAUAGACAACAUAGAUAUCCUGAUGA